GAUAUGGCAGCACGCUCGCAAACUCAACGAAAAAAUUCGGAAUAGCAAAAGAAAAGUGUGACGCGUUCCUGCAAGAAUUGUACAAUUAAAUUAAAUUAAGCUGCAAGAUUGUUGCUUAUCAACUAAAAAAAAUCUCUUGACGCAUUUUUUUCCGGGUCGAAUAGAACGAUACUCAACUUCCAUUAAAAAAUGGCUGAUAAUGAUGAUCUUUUGGAUUAUGAGGAUGAGGAGCAGACCGAGACCACUGCCGCCGAAGUCCCUGAAGCACCAAAGAAAGACGUGAAAGGCACAUACGUGUCAAUUCACAGUUCGGGCUUUCGUGAUUUUCUGCUGAAGCCGGAAAUUUUGCGUGCAAUAGUUGACUGCGGUUUCGAGCAUCCGUCUGAGGUGCAACAUGAGUGUAUACCACAGGCAGUGCUGGGAAUGGAUAUUCUCUGUCAAGCCAAGUCGGGUAUGGGUAAGACUGCUGUUUUUGUGCUUGCAACUUUACAACAGCUAGAACCGACGGAAAAUGUGGUAUACGUGUUGGUUAUGUGUCAUACUCGUGAAUUAGCAUUCCAAAUUAGCAAGGAGUACGAACGAUUCUCCAAGUAUAUGCCAGCUGUGAAGGUUGGCGUAUUCUUUGGCGGCUUAUCCAUUCAGAAAGAUGAAGAAUCGUUGAAGGGUACAACGCCACACAUUGUUGUUGGCACACCUGGUCGUAUCCUUGCCUUGAUACGCAACAAAAAACUUAAUCUAAAGCACUUGAAACACUUUAUUCUUGACGAAUGUGACAAAAUGUUGGAACAACUUGAUAUGCGUCGCGAUGUUCAGGAGAUUUUUCGAAGCACUCCACAUGGAAAACAAGUAAUGAUGUUUUCCGCUACGUUGAGCAAGGAAAUACGUCCGGUGUGCAAAAAAUUUAUGCAAGAUGUAAAUAUCUACGUGUCCAUUCUUCUACUUGUUCUACUACUACUAGUUAUACCACUAAGCUUUAUCCCAAUUGCUGAACUGCCACAACAUAAACACCACAACACCAUUAAAAAAACAAAGUCACAAAUGUUAAAACUAAUAACAGAAAGCAUAAAGUAUAACAGAAUAGAAAUAAUCUUAACCUGAAAAUAUCAAAUCCAUUAUAAAUGAAAAACUAUAACAAAACGGUUUUUAGAAGCCAUAAUUAUAGCAAUGCGUCACUUGGUUGCGUAAUGUAAAAUGAAGUUGACUUCUAUUAAUUCUUUGCAAAGCGACGUGGAUCAUUGCGACUGCAGCAGUAUUCCCCAAAAUUUCAUGGGGAUAGCUUUAUGCUAUUACAACCAACAAUUUGCGACGUGAUUUGAUACAUGUUUCAACAUGGGGAAAACAUUAUUCACUUAAUCGAUCAUUUACAAAAUGGAAAGGGAAAUGCCUUAUUUGGGGAUGCAUCUGUCAGCCAAGCACUAAAUGGAAAUAGGUCUAAACAUUCCAUUGGGGAUCACUUCAAUGUUGUGUGUACCAGUAGCCUGUUUCGAAACUAAUGAGAUGUGGUGGUUGUGUGGCCUGAAUGAGCUAAAGGCGCCCGUCUGUCCUUUGACGAUUCAGCGGCAGGAUGAUUCCUAAUUAUGCUGGUUUUCAUAAAUUGUAAGUUUAAAUAUUCUUUAUUUAAUUUUAUAUUGCAGCCCAUGGAAGUUUAUGUGGAUGACGAAGCUAAAUUGACAUUGCACGGAUUACAACAGCACUAUGUUAAACUGAAGGAGAA